rnacentral:rRNA from 1 species
UACGAAGGGGGCUAGCGUUGUUCGGAAUUACUGGGCGUAAAGGGCGCGUAGGCGGCGAUUCAAGUGACGGGUGAAAUCCCUCGGCUUAACCGAGGAACUGCCUGUCAGACUGGGUUGCUUGAGACCGGGAGAGGCGAGUGGAAUUCCCAGUGUAGCGGUGAAAUGCGUAGAUAUUGGGAGGAACACCAGUGGCGAAGGCGGCUCGCUGGACCGGAACUGACGCUGAGGCGCGAAAGCGUGGGGAGCAAACAGG